AAAAUUAUGGGUUUAAGAUCACCCACAAAAAACCUGAUCCACGUUCCUUUUAUCAUCUCUUUCCCGGUGGAAAAAAUGGUCGAUCUACAGAGAUCUUCAACAAAAUUCGGAUAAAUACUGUCUGGAGCACGAAAGUAUGUUGUAGAAGUGGACCAAUUGAUUAAAUUUUUGCGAAAUUGAUGCUGUUCUGGUGAGAACAAAGAUUCCUCCCACUUCCACUUCCUCCUCUUCUGAAUGAUUUCUUCUCCCAAAUAUCCUCAAAUCAAGGAUAUUCUUUGUAUUUCCUCUUUUUCUUACCACUGCUGUUCUUGAUCUUUCUUCUUCUUUACUUUGAUUGUUGAGAGAAACAGGGUGGGGUUUUGUUUUAGGGCUUGAUCCUCCAUUUUGAAUGCCGGAGAUGGGUUUUCCCCUUGUUUUGAUUGCUGAUAUUGCAGGUAAUUUCAUUAUUCAAUCGACCCAAUAAUGAAUUUUCUGUUCCUGUGAUGGGAAAUUGUUGACUGGGUUUCUCAUUGUCGAAACCCAGAUGAUUUUGAGGAAUGACAAUGUCUUUCCAGCUUUUAAGUACUCAAUCUUGUCUAUCUGCUUAUGUAAAGACCCGUAGAAUUCAGCUUCGAUGGAGGUUGAAUCCUGUUCAGGCUAUACCACCACCAUCAACUCUUUUGCACACUGAUGAAAGUGAAUAUCUUCCAGAAUCUAAAAAGGGUUCUGGGUUCAAAUCAGUAUUGAAAACGAGUAAAGAUUCAACUGGUAUUUUGCUAAGUCAAUCAAAUACAGUGGGUAUAUUAGGAGGAUCGUCUGUUAAUUCUACUGUAAACUUCUUGGGAAAAUUAGUUAAAUGGAGUACCAAAGAUGGAGAAUCUGGUCUUCCUUUUGUUCUCUGCUCUGACCCAACUCUUGGUAAUGAGCUUCAAGUGUUUGAUAAAAGUUCUCACCAAGUUCUCAACUACAAGAGUGAGAAUCUAGGGUUGGAUUCUGGACCAUUAGUAGAGAGUUUGAAGAGUAAGAGAGAUCUUCUCGAGAAGUCGGGUGCUCGUUGCAUCGUUAUGCCUUGUCACAUAUCUCAUUUAUGGUAUGAAGAUGUUUCAAAAGGGUGUCCUGUUACCUUCCUUCAUAUGGCUGAUUGUGUUGCUAGAGAGCUCAAGGAAGCUAAGUUGAAGCCACUUGAAGCUGGGAGCCCAUUACGGAUUGGUGUUCUUGCAACCAAUGCAAUUUUAAGUGCAGGGUAUUAUCAGGAGAAACUGCAGAAUGAAGGAUUUGAGGUGGUUCUUCCAGACAAAGCAACUAUGGAACAUACUGUAAUUCCUGCAAUUGAGGCUCUAAACAGAAAGGACAUUGAAGGGGCAAGGAAUUUACUACGAAUUGCUCUUCAAGUUCUUCUGGUGAGGGCUGUCAACUCUGUCAUCCUUGCCUCUGAUGAUAUAAAGGAUCUCUUGCCCCUUGAUGAUCCCCUUCUUAAGAGAUGCAUUGACCCAAUGGACGCAUUAGCAAGGUCCACUAUCAAUUGGGCACAAUGUGCGAAAUAAGGCGAAGGAUGGGCUUUCUGAAUCAUUGAACUGGUUUAGGCCAUUGGGUUUGCUCCUGCGUUCCUUCCACAGGGUUGAAUUCAGGAGCUCCAACUUUGUUUCAUCCACUACGCUAUAUUUGUUCGUACCUUAUUUUAAUUGUAUAUCCCAGGUAAACUUUAUAUUAUUUAUGUUUGAGGCUGCUGUUUCAAUAAAAAUAAAUUUAAAUUUUUUAUUAUUUUUUAAA